GACGAACGCUGGCGGCGUGCUUAACACAUGCAAGUCGAACGGAAAGGCCCUGCUUUUGUGGGGUGCUCGAGUGGCGAACGGGUGAGUAACACGUGAGUAACCUGCCCUUGACUUUGGGAUAACUUCAGGAAACUGGGGCUAAUACCGGAUAGGAGCUCCUGCUGCAUGGUGGGGGUUGGAAAGUUUCGGCGGUUGGGGAUGGACUCGCGGCUUAUCAGCUUGUUGGUGGGGUAGUGGCUUACCAAGGCUUUGACGGGUAGCCGGCCUGAGAGGGUGACCGGCAAGAGGGGGAGUGGGAUGCGGCCAAGAGGGGGAGGGGGGGAAGGAGGGGGGAAGAGUGGACGAGGGGAGGAGGCGUGAGGCAGCAGGGGGGGGGGGGGGAGGAGGGGGUGGGGGUUGGAACCCGCUUUCGGCGGGGAAGAAGGGGGGGUGAGGGAAAGGAGAAAGGAAGAACCGGGUAACAACGGGACAGCAGCCGCGGUAAGAGAACGGAAAGCACACGUAAAAAC
rnacentral:rRNA from 1 species